UUAAGCUUUAAAGUAAUCCGUUAUUGAAUUUGUUUAAAGAGUAGAGAUAAGCAGUUCGAAAAUUUCCCAAAAUUUGUUAAUAUUCCUUUUAAAUACAUCAUUAAGUACUAUAAAUUAAACGAGACAGCCAUUAACAGCUACAGAUUAAGAACUUCUGUACCACACUUUCACUCUCCAUCUUUAAAGAUCAAAAUAAUAAAAGGGUACUGAUAUAACAGAAAUGGAUUCUUUAUGGCUGAUAAGGAAUGUAGAUUAAUGAUCACCUCCUUAACGGAAUCGCAUAAAAUAUUUUUGUGUAAAAAAAAAGAUAAAAAAAGUUGCCUAUAUAUAGAUUAUAAAACUUCGAAAAUUUCAUCUGAAAUUUAGAUAAAUGAUGUGAAAACUGAGAAGAAUGUGUAACACAACUUGCUAGUUCGACCUUUCAACUUUACAGUCGAGGAUACGGCUGGAUUUUACGUCCUCUGGCUAUUUUUAUUUUCAAGAAUCAUGCUAAAAACUGUCGUAAUGUUGUUAUUGCUCAGAUAGGAGUCUUAGAU